GGGGAUGCAGCUCAAACGGUAGAGCGCUCGCUUUGCAUGCGAGAGGUACGGGGUUCGAUACCCCGCAUCUCCA
rnacentral:tRNA from 1 species